GGGGGAGAGAAAAAAUAGGGAUACAAAAAGAAAGGAGGCCAACAACGCAACACACGCAGGCUCAAUUGAGAACCUUGUUGCCUAUGUGCUUUCACGGGCUAUGUAUCCCGGAAGAGAAAUAAUAUAUACCCUACGGUGGAACUGGUCGCACGCUGUUGGCCGGGAAUAACGAUGUAGAGGAAAAUCCACAAAAUAGCUGAUUGGUCAGUACGUGUUUUUCCGCUGCGACGCGCAACAGGUGUUCUCUCGUACACACUCGGCUCUCUCUAUACACGGUGUAGUUCUUGUUGAAAUACAGCAGCAGCCCAAACCGAUUCAAAGUCAAAAGGUGUUGCAGGUGAGCGCACCUGAUGCAAACUAAUCUCGUCGUGUGUCUGAAUUUUUAUCCCGUCAUUUGUAUGUUUGAAUGUCGUCGUUUUCUAAUUCCGCUUAUUCGUUGGAAUGGAUCAAUGCUGACGAAAUUCCAACCUGUCAGCUAGCCACAUUUAUGCAUUCACGCAAGAGCUUCUCGUGAGCAUGUCAUGCAUCACUUGCGCGCGCCAGCUGCGUUUUCAGAAGAAAUGCGAGUGUCUUACGUAAACGCAACUGUUUGCCAAACAGCCACUUAACAGCCGUUCAACUAAAUUUGCUCGUCUGAACUGUACCAUUAUCGCCUUCUUCUAACCCCCAUGAAGUAAAUUCUCCUGUAAAAAAAAAAAACAGAACAAACGACACAAAUUAAUAAAGGAAGGUGAAGUUUUACGACAUGUCUUUAUUAUCAUUAAUUGUCCAUCAGCGGCAUCAUCACAUGUGAAAUGUACCGGAAGAGUAAACCGAAAAAAAAAAGGAGGGGAAGAAAAACAAGCGGAUGAAACCGCAAAUUUUUCUGAGGGAAAUAUAGGGGGAAGCAAAAAGAAAUAAAAAAGAAAACGACAGCUAAGGGAGGGGGGGAAAAAAAGGGGUGAUAAUUUUUCGGUUUGUAGAACAAGCAGUUGGAGUAAAGAAAAUUUACAUUGGUUAAGUCAUUUGUUUGUUUUCUCUCUUAUUCCUUACAUUGCCCCUGUUCUUUCUUCUUCUUCUUCUUUUUUUUUUUAAGUUUUUUAAAUGGCGUUUUUGUUUUCGGGAGAGAGUUAUGUGGCGUAACGCCUGAUGUUUCAUCCUCGAAUCUACGUUGACUGACUAGGAGAGCUAAAUCAUUUCAAGCAUGCAAUGGGGUUU